rnacentral:rRNA from 1 species
GACGAACCGUCCAAACGUUAUUCGGAAUUACUGGGCUUAAAGGGUUCGUAGGCGGCCUUGUAAGUGAGAUGUGAAAUCCCACGGCUCAACCGUGGAAGUGCAUUUCAUACUGCAAGGCUUGAGGGAGACAGAGGUAAGCGGAACUGAUGGUGGAGCGGUGAAAUGCGUUGAUAUCAUCAGGAACACCGGUGGCGAAGGCGGCGUUCUGGACUGUUUCUGACACUGAAUAACGAAAGCCAGGGGAGCAAACGGG